rnacentral:lncRNA from 1 species
ACUUGGGUUCUAGGUGGGACAGGAGGAAGAGUGGAUGUGGCCAUAGGAGCCAUGGCCAGAUCAUGGAGGAGAUGCGUCCACCUUGAUGAGGCGGUGUCCCCUGGCCCCUUCUCAGCAGUGCACCAGAAACAGCCAUGAGCACCCGGCAGGUGUGGCGACACCCAGGACCCAGGCACAAGACACGUGGCGAGGGCUUCCGGCAGCACCGCCAUUUCAGGACCUCACACCAAAACUUUCGUUGGCAAAGUUGACCAGAAAAAAGCCAAAGUCUUAUUUUAACUUGCUGAGGUUGUAACACCUUGGGGACAUCAGGACUCCUCUGUGAAAUCCACCCCACCCCUCGGCAGGGCUGCAGGCCCCUCCUCUCACCCAUCUUGGCUCUGGCCUUGCCGAGCUCUUGGUCCUCCAAAUAAGGAAACAGGACAAUUUAAAAGGACCCGUAAGAGAUACCUGAGCUGUCACGGACCACUCACUACUGUCAGAUUAGACGAGUACGGGAAACACGGGAGGCAGGGUGGGUGGCUGAGAGCGCAUAGGUCUUCACCAAGACACAGAGAUUGAGGCUGGACAAGAUCAACAUUCACCUGCUCAUUCAUUCGUUCUUCCCCUCAACUCACAAGGUGCCCCAGGGCCUUUGCACGAACUACUCCCUCUUACUGCAAUGCUUAUCCUCAGAUGCACCCACAGUUCCUACUCUGAACGGCUCCGUUCUCAACUCUUCCGCAAGCAUCUCUUUCAGAUCCCUCAGCCACUGCCUCUAGAGGGCUCCAGCUAGAAUUACCACUUUCUGUGUGACCUCAGAUAAAUGACUCAACCGCUCUGUGCUUGUUGGUUCACAUGCC